rnacentral:rRNA from 1 species
AAUCAACGCUGGCGGCGUGCCUCAGACAUGCAAGUCGAACGCGAAAGUCCCCUUCGGGGGACAAGUAGAGUGGCGCACGGGUGAGUAACACGUAGGUAAUCUACCUUCGGAUGGGGAAUAACAACCGGAAACGGUUGCUAAUACCGCAUAAUGCAGCGGCACCUAAUGGUGACAGUUGUUAAAGCGGGGGAUUGAAAGACCUCGCGUCUGAAGAGGAGCCUGCGGCGGAUUAGCUUGUUGGAGGGUAACGGCCUACCAAGGCGACGAUCCGUAGCCGGCCUGAGAGGGCGGUCGGCCACACUGACACUGACAUACGGGUCAGACUCCUACGGGAGGCAGCAGUCGGGAAUUUUGGGCAAUGGGCGCAAGCCUGACCCAGCAACGCCGCGUGAAGGAUGAAGCAUUUUCGGUGUGUAAACUUCACAAGAAUGGGAAGAAUAAGUUAGGCGAAUACCCUUGACGAUGACGGUACUACUUGUAAGCUCCGGCUAACUCCGUGCCAGCAGCCGCCGCAGU